UACGAAGGGGGCUAGCGUUGUUCGGAAUUACUGGGCGUAAAGCGCGCGCAGGCGGUCUUUCAAGUCAGUGGUGAAAGCCCGGAGCUCAACUCCGGAACUGCCAUUGAAACUGUUAGACUUGAGGAUGAGAGAGGUGAGUGGAAUUCCCAGUGUAGAGGUGAAAUUCGUAGAUAUUGGGAAGAACACCGGUGGCGAAGGCGGCUCACUGGCUCAUAUCUGACGCUCAGGCGCGACAGCGUGGGGAUCAAACAGG
rnacentral:rRNA from 1 species